GCACUUGACCGCUCCUCCCUCCGCGUUGGAGGCGGAAUAGUGGGUUUUGCUGCAACCGGUUUUCUUUCUGUUUUCACCCAUUCUGGCACAAUCCGGCGCCAUCGUCCUUCUUGUGAGGCCAAGCCUGAAAAUGCGAAGCAGAGAGGCAGAACCAAAAUUGAGGCGAAUCCGGGAACCUGCCAAUGGGUCUCCGGGUGCGGUCUCUGAAACUGGAGGAUAUCAGGAGGAAAGGCUCUCCGAUGCGGAGAGAAUGGGGAAGCUCUUGGCAUGGUUGGCUGUAGGUGUGUGAUACCGGAGGAGCAGGAGUCAAAUAGGAUACGCCGACUUUUAAUUCAAGGAACCCUUUUCUGAAACACUUUGCCACAAUGAAGGAAAUAAGGUAAGGUUCUUGGGGCUCCUCAGUAGUAAUAGGGGCAGGGGACAAGGGGCAAUUAAGUGGUUUUGGUUGGGAAUGAGGCAUUAUGAAUAGCUUUCAGGAGGUAGAGCUUAGAACAAUGUCUUAGUUAUAAGCUCUUAUGUUUGAGGAAGAGAUUUCAAUUUGCUUAGAAGGAAACGGGCCAGUGGGUUUUUGUCUCUGAGAAGGAGAUCCUUAGCAUACAGAAAACAGAGAAGGGUUUGCAACUUUUCCGUU
rnacentral:antisense_RNA from 1 species